rnacentral:tRNA from 1 species
GGUGUAGCGCAGUUGGUAGCGCGCCUGCUUUGGGAGCAGGAUGUCGGGGGUUCAAAUCCCUCCACU